UAUUCAAAUUUUUUAAUGUAGCAUUUUUUAUACUAUUCCCAAAAUGUAUUACAUAGUUACAAAUCAAGAAUUACAAAUAGAAAGUACAGCACAAGUAAAGAAUUACACAAACACACAAAUAUUAAUUUAUGCUUCUAAUGAAGAAUCGUGCUUGCAAAUCUGAGGGUUUGUUUUCUCUAAAUAUGGAUUUUACAUGAAAUACUCUGUCAAAUUUGCCACUAAAUUUUAUUUUUUUUUAUUUUUACUUGUUUACCUCAUAAAAACACAGAUGCUAAUCAACUAUUCUCAUUGUUAUUUUUAUUCUUGAUGUUUUUUAGAUUCCGCUUUUCUGCAUUUGGGAAGUCCAGGAAAAUCAUCGUUACAAAAGAUGACACGUUUUCAAGUAUUUCCCAGCUACCUCCAGAAAUUAUGAAAUGCCUUGAAAAAGAAAGUGUGCAGCUACAAAGUGGCAACUGGAGUAGUGUCUGAAGACUUGGGUAUUCCAAAUACCAAAACAAAUCGUACGAGACUACAAAAUGUGUACAUUCAUCAUAAAGGGUCCCAUACUGUAGUGGAGUUGGUGCCAUCCAGUCCCGUCUCAGAAAAAGAUGACCAAACAAACAGUUUUGCAUACCCCAGACUCAGCAGCCGCCUCUCAGUGCUCAACCAAAUCACCUAUCCGAGAUAUAUCUGAGGUGACUGUUAUUUUGUCAGAAAUAUCAAUGUUUGUUAGUUAGUUUUCAUCUAAAAUUACAUAUUACAUUUUCUCGACACACUUUUCUUUGUAAUCUGCAGGACAUAGAGACAACCAAGGAGUCCAGCUCUUCAGCUGGAAGUGAAUCAAAGAAAACAUAUUUCAUUCAUAAAUGGAAAAAAAAAUAGAUUUUUUUCAUUCCACAAAAUGCUUGGAUAAAACUUAGGCAAAAACAGAAGCGACAAUUUAAAACUCUGCAUUGGACGAACAUCAUCGCUAAAGGAAUUAAACAGAUCAAUCCUUUUUGCAGCUUUGCCUUCAAGAGACACAGUGUGAAGUCCCCUGGAUCUCAGAAAAAAUCUCCUCUGUCUGCUCUGCAAAAUGCACUUUUGAUGACGAUCCUAUUACGGUCAAGGUCAAUAUGAAAAAUUAGAACACACUUAAAGCAGAUGUAGUUUUUCUGGGGGAGACUGUCACGGAAAUUAUACAUUUGCUUAUGUCUCAUCCUCUGAGUCUUGUUUUCUUGUUGUCAGAACACCCUGACCACAAUGUGUAAACAUUUUGAUUUCAUUAGAACAUCUUGUCCACAUUAGAUAUGACACUUACAUUUCCAUCUUAAGCUCCUGAUUAACAGCCGAUUGUAUGACUGUAUAAAAUGUGAGCGUCCAUCACAGAUCAGGGCUCUGCAGACCUCUCCGCCAUGCUCGCCAACGUGUACUUUUUUCUGCUCUGUUUAAUAAACUUUCAUGAAAACGUUUGACAUU